UGCCCUGUGAACAACUUCAACAUUGUCCUAAAACAAAUUUCUUUAUUUUACAAGUUUAGUCAAGUGAUUCUUCAUUUCACAAAUUUCUUAAAGGCACAAGUUUGCUAUUUGGUACAAAAAUCACUGAAAUAUAUAUAUGCGUCUUACAAAAAUAUCAUCCUCUUCUUACUCAUCACUUUACAUAUUCCCGCAGGCAAACCAAAAUGGGUAAAAGAAAAGAACGAAAGAAAGAAAAGGGUGUCUUGAGAUUCGUCAGACUUAAACUUGUUCUUCAUUGUGGCAAUCGCAAGAGACAGGCUUAGGCUUAGCCAAGUACGUAGGAUUCUCAUCACCAGCCAUGAUCACAACAAUCUUUGGCUCAGAGCUGUCUACUUGCUUGACUGGUGUCUCUUCGCGAACCUGUGUUGCUGAAUUGGACAAAGACUGCCUAUAUGAGCAGGCAAGGAUUAUCAAAGCAACAGUGAUGAUUCCCAGCAGGAGGGCUAGCCCACCAAAGAGGUAAGGCAUGGGAGAGUUAAAGUGCCAGAAUCCAGCACCAGCACCACCUGUUGUGGAGUUGCUUGCAGGCCUCAUUUCUAAUCUCUCUCUACCUCUAUCUCUGACUUUGUUGCUCUUUUGCCAGCUCGAUGAAAUGGGGGUUGUCUGGUGUGGGUAUUUAUAGCACUAAAUAAAGGUAAAGUUCAAAAGAAAGAAGAGUUGGCUUUUGUGCAGUUACCAAGAAACCAUCGGUAUUGUAGGAAAAGAAAAGAAAGAGAUGAUAGGUAAUUCUUUCUUGGGCUGCACUGAUUCUGACCGUGUAGAAUAUUUGUCUCUCUCGAAGAGGAGGACCCUUAAUUUGCUUGCUUGCUUUUCCAGGCCGCCGCGUCCACUAACGAUUAUACAAUGUCAAGAAAAGUUCGGAACCAUUUCUGACGGAAGAAUAAGAUAGCAAAUAGUACCCAUUAUCCAUUUAUAUAUAACCAAGUCUGCGAUGCUUUUAGCUGAGCUGCUGCUGCUGUUCUGUUUUCCAUCCAAAAUGACAUUUCUGCUCUUACUAGGAAACUUCUUAAAAUUCUUAUAUGGCUGAGGUUCAUUUUGGGACACAUUUUACGAAACACGAUUGGUUCUUUUCCAAGGAAUGGCAAUAUGUGUGAAUUGCUAAAACAUUGCAAGAGUAAAGAUUCGGAAUUUCUAUCAAAAUGUUUUAGAUGGAUGAAGUGAGAAUGUAAGAGAAGAAACAGAAUCAUCACCACUCCACUCAACGCGUCAAGAAAAUGUGAGAACAUUCGCGAAAUUUCUUAGUAGUACCGGACCAGACAUGUUAUGACUUGUAGGUCCACAGAAAACAACGUUUUUCUUUGGAAAACUCAAAAGGCACAUUGACAAGGACGGGAAAAUGAGGCACUUUAUCUCACUUGUAUGCUGACCUUAGCAUGCCAUCAAAACCUUUGCUCUUGCCCACACUCGACCUAAAUGGGGUUGGGUUGCAUCGUUCUGCUCCAGAAUUUUAACCUAAUGCCAAGUAUCAACGCUCUAUUGCAUCAAUUUGCUGAACAUACUGAUCAAAACUACCACUUUUUGACUUCAACUGCUCCACAAAAACCCUCAAUCCAGAAGCCACAUCCCCAAAACCUUUAUACUCUUCGGCCACUUUCAGAUUCAUUUUCUCUACGAGUUCCAUCAGAUUAUUUGUCCCCUGUAACCAUGAAUCAAUUUGGAAGCAAAGUAAGGGACUACAGAAAGAUGAGGUUUUUAGGUUUUGAAAUUGAGACCUGAAGUUCGCCUUUGACCAUGGUGCAGACACUGGUGAAGAGAUCAUUCAAUGAAUCUGCUAGCUCAUCUUGAACCUCUACUUCCUCCUCUUUUCCAGCAGCCAUUUUGGGUGCCUAGAUCUGUUCUACAAGCGAAAAACACCUUCUUCCCUUCUCCUUUUUGUGUUCCUCGGUUGAAAUGAUUCUCUUCGGUACAGUAUUUGGCUAUCUCCGACGUUGUUGGAGCGUCUAGACGAGGUCCGGCUUGGGCGUAUCGAAGAGGAGGAGAAGCCGCGGCGCCGUCGGCGAAAUCCCCAGUAAGGGAUAUGGUAGGAAAUGAGAGGUGUUUCAGGUUCUUUCUCUCACUUUCAGCGAUUUUUCACCCCAAAUUUCGCUCUGCUGUGGCUUUCUCUCAUCGGAAAGAUGAAUGGAGGUGUCGCCCUAGAUGGGGAAGGCUGGAUCGGCCGGGAACAGGUUAGUCUCUCUCUUCCCUAUCGAUAACGCGCUUUGGGAAAGCAAAAGAAGAAACUAGGUUUGCAAAAGGAGGAUUUUGUAUGUAAAUCUGACGGUCCGUAUUGAACACCUAAACCGGGGAGACGGUCAAGAUCAAACCAUUUUCUUUAUCUUAUCUGAGGAAACGACAAUCGUUGUAAAUGGAAGCAAUGUCGUGCUGCAUGUGGUCGCCGUUCAAGAAAAACUACAUGACGUCUAUUGCUUACCCGCUUUGCAAAUAUCAGGUUGGGUGUCU
rnacentral:misc_RNA from 1 species